AUGAGCCGGAAAAGUUAUAUUGCAAAAAACCCACUGUAUACAAGCACUGUGAAAUACGUGAGUAUCCGGACAGUGGCUGUUACGUCUAUGAGCAGGAUACCAGCUUGUUGGGGCCUUCAGGAUUUUUUUAGUUGGAGGCGGGUAAACAGCCUUGGUUCACACUCUCCGUUUCUCAGGCUCAAUUAUCCGAUUAACCAGGAGAUCACCGUUGGCAAGGACCUUGAUGGCAGAGAGGCUCUAUUUGUUAUGGAAAACUGUGUCUACACGGCAAGCCCUUGGAGUUCGGGAGCAAACUCCCCUGAUUGUCAAUGA
rnacentral:rRNA from 1 species